UUUCCGUAGGUGAACCUGCGGAAGGAUCAUUAAUAAGUUGUCAUGGGGUUCGAUGCUGGCAGCCAGUUUUUGGAUGCAUGUGCUUGCCCUAACAAUCAUCUUCUUCCAAACACCUGUGCACAUUUUUGAGGGAGUCUUGAGUUGGUUGCCGCUCUUGGGUGAUUUUCUCACAUUCCCUUAAAUCAUUAUACGCUAUUAACAAUGUUGAACGUGCUCUGUGCCGCAAGGCCAUUAAUAUAAUACAACUUUUAACAACGGAUCUCUUGGCUCUC
rnacentral:misc_RNA from 1 species